UACGUAGGGUGCAGGCGUUAAUCGGAAUUACUGGGCGUAAAGCGUGCGCAGGCGGUUUCUUAAGUCAGACGUGAAAGCCCCGGGCUCAGCCCGGGAAGUGCGCUCGAAACUGCGCGGCUCGAGUGCCGGAGGGGAGAGUGGAAUUCCUGGUGUAGCGGUGAAAUGCGUAGAUAUCAGGAGGAAUACCGGUGGCGAAAGCGACUCUCUGGACGGCAACUGACGCUGAGGCACGAAAGCGUGGGGAGCAAACAGG
rnacentral:rRNA from 1 species